AGUCGGGCGGUAACAGGCCUUCGGGUGCUGACGAGCGGCGGACGGGUGAGUAAUGCUUGGGAACUUGCCUUUCGGAGGGGGAUAACCAUUGGAAACGAUGGCUAAUACCGCAUAACGUCUACGGACCAAAGUGGGGGAUCUUCGGACCUCACACCGAGAGAUAGGCCCAAGUGAGAUUAGCUAGUUGGUGGGGUAAAGGCUCACCAAGGCGACGAUCUCUAGCUGUUCUGAGAGGAUGAUCCCCCACACUGGUACUGAGACACGGACCAGACUCCUACGGGAGGCAGCAGUGAGGAAUAUUGGACAAUGGGCGCAAGCCUGAUCCAGCCAUGCCGCGUGCAGGAUGACGGUCCUAUGGAUUGUAAACUGCUUUUGCACAGGAAGAAACAACUCUACGUGUAGAGUCUUGACGGUACUGUGAGAAUAAGGAUCGGCUAACUCCGUGCCAGCAGCCGCGGUAAUACGGAGGAUCCAAGCGUUAUCCGGAAUCAUUGGGUUUAAAGGGUCCGUAGGCGGUUUAGUAAGUCAGUGGUGAAAGCCCAUCGCUCAACGGUGGAACGGCCAUUGAUACUGCUAAACUUGAAUUAUUAGGAAGUAACUAGAAUAUGUAGUGUAGCGGUGAAAUGCUUAGAGAUUACAUGGAAUACCAAUUGCGAAGGCAGGUUACUACUAAUGGAUUGACGCUGAUGGACGAAAGCGUGGGUAGCGAACAGGAUUAGAUACCCUGGUAGUCCACGCCGUAAACGAUGGAUACUAGCUGUUGGGAGCAAUCUCAGUGGCUAAGCGAAAGUGAUAAGUAUCCCACCUGGGGAGUACGUUCGCAAGA
rnacentral:rRNA from 1 species